UUUUGGCGCUGCUUUCCCAAACAUAACGCGGGUAGAGCGAAAUAUUCUGGAUUCUAACGCGGGUCCAACCCCCCUCGGCCGAAAUCCCUAGACCAAACUCAAAAAUCCCCAAUCGAUUUCCCCCAAUUCCCACCGCCUUCUCCCUGCCGCAGCGAAGCUCCCGCCCCGCCGCACUCCGCCUCCAGCACCGUGUUUCCACUCUCUGCCUCCCACGCCGCGCCGCCGGAGCAAGCGUCGCCGGAUGACCUCCUGCUGGUCUUCCUCUCGGAGCAGACCACAGCCCACACCCGUCGGGCCCUUCUGAAGCGUGACCCAACCCCUCGGAAUCCAGCGAGGCUGCCCAGAAUCAAGCCCGCCCUUCGUCUGCAAGUACUCGAGUAGAUUAACACAUGUGUGUAGGCGAGCACUAGGCUAUAUAGUGCAGGUGAGCUGCCCUUCACGGUGAUGAGUUUCUCCAUGGUAGAUAUUACAUUUGUUGUGCUGAGAUCUGCAAGCUGUGUAUGUGUACUAUGCUACUUGUUUACUCGUGUUUACAAAUUUACAAAGUCCUGGAGGAAUAUUUUGAACACAAGCUCAGUCGCCAAAUGGAAAAAAUAAUAACUUCUAAUGGGGUUCAGUUAGACGAACGUCUUAGCAGAGUAGUUUAGUUAAGCAAUAUGAAAUAAAACUGAACACAUUUGUUUGUACAGUGUAGUUUUAACAUGCACAUGGGUGCAUUCGACAAGAACUUGUGUUCUUUUACAUGCACAAGGAUUUAUUAA